rnacentral:rRNA from 1 species
GACGAACGCUGGCGGCGUGCUUAACACAUGCAAGUCGAACGGAAAGGCCCUGCUUUUGUGGGGUGCUCGAGUGGCGAACGGGUGAGUAACACGUGAGUAACCUGCCCUUGACUUUGGGAUAACUUCAGGAAACUGGGGCUAAUACCGGAUAGGAGCUCCUGCUGCAUGGUGGGGGUUGGAAAGUUUCGGCGGUUGGGGAUGGACUCGCGGCUUAUCAUCUUGUUGGUGGGGUAGUGGCUUACCAAGGCUUUGACGGGUAGCCGGCCUGAGAGGGUGACCGGCAACAUUGGGACUGAGAUACGGCCCAGACUCCUACGGGGGGCAGCAGUGGGGAAUAUUGCACAAUGGGCGGAAGCCUGAUGCAGCAACGCCGCGUGCGGGAUGACGGCCUUCGGUUGGUAAACCGCUUUCGCCUGUGACGAAGCGUGAGUGACGGUAAUGGGUAAAGAAGCACCGGCUAACUACGUG